UACGAAGGGGGCUAGCGUUGCUCGGAAUCACUGGGCGUAAAGCGCACGUAGGCGGAUCUUUAAGUCAGGGGUGAAAUCCCAAGGCUCAACCUUGGAACUGCCUUUGAUACUGGGGAUCUCGAGUCCGGAAGAGGUGAGUGGAACUGCGAGUGUAGAGGUGAAAUUCGUAGAUAUUCGGAGGAACACCAGUGGCGAAGGCGGCUCACUGGUCCGGUACUGACGCUGAGGUGCGAAAGCGUGGGGAGCAAACAGG
rnacentral:rRNA from 1 species